GUCUUUGUAAUAUAUAUAUAAUUAUACUGGUCUUGUAAACCAGAAAAGGACAACAAAUAGUCCCUAAGACA
rnacentral:tRNA from 2 species